rnacentral:rRNA from 1 species
ACGAACGCUGGCGGCGUGCUUAACACAUGCAAGUCGAGCGGAAAGGCCCUUCGGGGUACUCGAGCGGCGAACGGGUGAGUAACACGUGGGCAACCUGCCCUCAGCUCUGGGAUAACUCCGGGAAACCGGGGCUAAUACCGGAUACGACUCUGGGAGACAUCUUCUGGGGUGGAAAGUUCUUCGGCUGAGGAUGGGCCCGCGGCCUAUCAGCUUGUUGGUGGGGUAAUGGCCUACCAAGGCGACGACGGGUAGCCGGCCUGAGAGGGCGACCGGCCACACUGGGACUGAGACACGGCCCAGACUCCUACGGGAGGCAGCAGUGGGGAAUAUUGCGCAAUGGGCGGAAGCCUGACGCAGCGACGCCGCGUGAGGGAUGAAGGCCUUCGGGUUGUAAACCUCUUUCAGCAGGGACGAAGCGCAAGUGACGGUACCUGCAGAAGAAGCACCGGCCAACUACGU